CAGGCAGCACCUUGCCGCUGGCUUAGAGCACAGCCAGACCAGACCAGACGAGCAGAUCAGAGGCUCUGGAAACAAAUUCUUCAAGAAGAUGAAAUUGUAGACAAGCUGUGUGUUUGAAUAUACUGAGCAGAAGGACAUUGACGUACCUGAGAGAAGCAUUCAGAAGAGCCGGACAGCAAAAUAAUCCUAGUACAUACGACAUGGUAAGGUUCUUCAGCUGAUGUUGCUUCAGACUCAUCUCGCACAGGUGUCUACAGUGGAAAUGGGAUCUUAACAGGGAAAUUUUGAGAAUAUUUUCUUUCAUUGUCCUGUACAAAAGUAUGAGAGAGAUAAAUCACCCUGCGGCAGUUUGUUUUGGCUGAACAGGCCGGGGUGGACCUGUAACCUGAGUUUGGCCAACCAAAUGCUCUUCAGAGCCUGAGUAGACAAGCCAAGGACAGAGAACUGGUGGGCAGGUCAAGAGGAAGGUAAGCCCUGCAGGGGUCGCCCUCCCUUUGUCUAGGUGAGAUCCUCCAGACCGCCUUGG